rnacentral:rRNA from 1 species
AGAGUUUGAUCCUGGCUCAGGACGAACGCUGGCGGCGUGCUUAACACAUGCAAGUCGAACGGAAAGGCCCUUCGGGGUACCCGAGUGGCGAACGGGUGAGUAACACGUGGGUGAUCUGCCCUGCACUUUGGGAUAAGCCUGGGAAACUGGGUCUAAUACCGAAUAUGACCAUGCGCCUCCUGGUGUGUGGUGGAAAGCUUUUGCGGUGUGGGAUGGGCCCGCGGCCUAUCAGCUUGUUGGUGGGGUAAUGGCCUACCAAGGCGACGACGGGUAGCCGGCCUGAGAGGGUGACCGGCCACACUGGGACUGAGAUACGGCCCAGACUCCUACGGGAGGCAGCAGUGGGGAAUAUUGCACAAUGGGCGCAAGCCUGAUGCAGCGACGCCGCGUGAGGGAUGACGGCCUUCGGGUUGUAAACCUCUUUCAGCACAGACGAAGCGCAAGUGACGGUAUGUGCAGAAGAAGGACCGGCCAACUACGUGCCAGCAGCCGCGGUAAUACGUAGGGUCCGAGCGUUGUCCGGAAUUACUGGGCGUAAAGAGCUCGUAGGUGGUUUGUCGCGUUGUUCGUGAAAACUCACAGCUUAACUGUGGGCGUGCGGGCGAUACGGGCAGACUUGAGUACUGCAGGGGAGACUGGAAUUCCUGGUGUAGCGGUGGAAUGCGCAGAUAUCAGGAGGAACACCGGUGGCGAAGGCGGGUCUCUGGGCAGUAACUGACGCUGAGGAGCGAAAGCGUGGGGAGCGAACAGGAUUAGAUACCCUGGUAGUCCAA